UCAUCACAAGCCACUGUUCCAUUUCAA
rnacentral:misc_RNA from 1 species